rnacentral:rRNA from 1 species
GACAGAGGGUGCAAACGUUGUUCGGAAUUACUGGGCGUAAAGCGCGUGUAGGCGGCCCAGCAAGUCGGAUGUGAAAGCCCUGGGCUUAACCUAGGAAGUGCAUUCGAAACUGCUGGGCUUGAGUUCUGGAGAGGAAGGCGGAAUUCUCGGUGUAGAGGUGAAAUUCGUAGAUAUCGAGAGGAACACCGGUGGCGAAGGCGGCCUUCUGGACAGUGACUGACGCUGAGACGCGAAAGCGUGGGGAGCAAACAGGGAUUAAGAAA